GACGAGCCACACGAACGUUGUUCGGAAUUACUGGGCGUAAAGGGCGCGUAGGCGGUCUGCUAAGUUGGAUGUGAAAACUCUGGGCUUAACCCAGAGCCUGCAUUCAAUACUGACAGGCUAGAGUUCUGGAGGGGAUAGCGGAAUUCCCGGUGUAGCGGUGAAAUGUGUAGAGAUCGGGAGGAACACCGGUGGCGAAGGCGGGUCUCUGGGCAAUUCCUGACGCUGAGGCGCGAAAGCGUGGGGAGCAAACGGG
rnacentral:rRNA from 1 species